rnacentral:lncRNA from 1 species
UAUGUCAGUUGAUUAUUUUCCUUAAAAAAAAUCUUAGAUCACUGAUUUGAGGUUUCUCUUUAAAGUUUGAAAAGUUUAUGACAGACCACAGCUCAUGAUGGGGACAAUCCUGAGGAUAUACGAAAAGCAUUUCCCAUGCAGGAAGAAGAAAAUAUUCUAAAGAAGAGAUAAGAGUGUGCCAUGAAAUCAAAAAGCCAACAGAUCUCAGGGAGUUCCUUUUCUACCCAAACUAUCAGAUGUAAUUUAGCAGUAAAGAAAGAGUUGGCUCACGUGUAACAAGUACUCAUGUGCGAUUAUGGAGUUUUCUUCUCUAUUUCAAAAAGAAAGGUGGAGAAAUGGAGAACAGGAUAAAGGCCUGGAAUCCCUGCUCCAGAAAGACAAGCAUUUCUGAGGAAAACUGUACAUGUUAGUUGGAAUCAGUCGGAUAUUUCUAUAAUCAAAAACAGUCCAUGUUGGUUUGAGGACGGUCAUGACUAGUACUGCAUCUGUACAACUGGAAAUACCAGUGCACCACAUUUUUCUCCCAUGAUGCUUCCAAAUCUCUCUAAACAGUUAGCUGAUAGCUGUGAUUGGCCAUUGAGAAGAGGGAGGAGUAAUGACUUCAAUGACCCCAGAAGAUUCCAGAGCAGAGAACAGCAGCAGUCUGGCUUUGUUCUUUGGUACCAAGUGCCCCCGUCAACCACUGCAGUAAGUACUCGUCUGCCUUUGGGCCCUAUUAGCCCACACAGUAAACCCCGCUGGAAAGUAGGGCUGAGCUGUGAGUGCUAUUGGUACUGUCUCCAUUCUAUGCUGGUUCUUUUAGACUUUGUGUUUCUAUGGGGUCUACUCGUUGGUUUCCACUUUGAUUUCUCCAAUAUUGAAGAUAUAUUAUAUUGGCUUCUCUCCAGCUCUCAGAAUGCUCUCUUCUUUAGUUCUAUUCCUAUGAUCACUUGCUGUCCACUUGGCCAGCUACCCAUAUUGUCAUGAAAGGAGAGUGUCACAGUAGGUAAUAUCACAUCAGACUACAAACCUGGUACAAACUGGACCUUUAACUCAUUCUUACCCUUCCCAUACCCAUCACAUACUGUAUCACAUGCAAGGCUUAUUCUGGGCAUGACUGGGGGUAGGAAGAUUGUUAUGCAUCUGAUGUCCUCUCCAGUAGGCCUUCGGUAAUGACAUGAAAAAUGUCACACCAGAUCAUUGACAGUCUUCAAAGAUGGCUACAACAAUUCUUCCAAUUCUUAUGCACCUGCCCCUUUGUGAUGUAAUCUUGUCACUACUCCCAUCAAGACACAGAGGCUAUUUCCCCUCCCCUAGACUCUAUGCCAGCCCCGCAACUUCACUUAAACAGAAGGGGCAUCAGAUGACUUCAGGCUUUAAAAGGCCUUUCAGCUUUUGCUCUCAGGCCCUUGCUGCCCUAAGAGCACCACGUAAGGAAUCCUGGGCCAGCCUCCAUGAGAAGACACCAAUCCCAGCCGGCAGGUAAACCCAACCUCAAGGCAUGGGAAGGAGGCCUUCCAGCCUCUCUUGUGCUGCUAGAUGCCUGUGGCCAGAUCAGGGACCCCAGGCAGGCCAGCAAAAGAGUCACCAAGCUGAGCCCUGCCCAAACUUCUAGAACACAGCAAUUUAUGGGCAGAAAAAAUAAGUUUUGGCAAAGUUUGCUAUGAAGGAACGGCUAAUUGAUAAAAACUCGAAAUGAAAAUUGAGACAAGAAACAAAUACCUCUUAUAUUACCAUGAUACAGCAUACUAUCUUUUAAACAAUCACCACUAAAGUUUUGUAUAUUGUCUAACUACCCUCCCACUAUUACUCCCCCUACACACAACACACACACACACACACACACACACACACUUCAAUCUCCCACCUGCCCUGUUCAUAUACUCUUUUGGGCAUUUCAUUUCCCAGUGUCCGUGUUUCUGUAUUGCCAGCUCAGUUUUUUUAAAUUAUCCAUAUUCCCAUAGAUUCAGAUCCUCCAGUCUAUGAAGAGUACCUAUCGUAUACUAUGUAUCAGAAACUGUUCUUCACCAUCACAUUACCAGGCACAGCCAUCAUUAUUCUGCUCAUUUUAUAUAUGAGAAAGCUGAGAGCCAGUAGGUUAAGUCUCCUCAAAGUCACACAGAGCUAAUCACAGGUAAGGAGCUAAGAUUUGAAUCCAGGUAGGAAGGCCCAAGUCAAUGCUCUUAAGAUCUACACUGUGCUGCACUACACUUUCUAGUGGCCCCCAGGCACUCCAAGCCUUACAUGUUCAAAACAAAAAUCACUCUUCUCUCACAGACCCCAUAUUCUUCAUAUUCCCUACUUUGAUAAGGAUUACCAUUUACUUACAUGCCCAAAGAAACCUCCCCCAUUUUUGAGAAGAAACCACAUUGUAUGGAAUCAUGCUUUCUUAUCCAUCUCCUUACCAUCAUCACCUUCCACCAGGAGACCAUGGCCUUGAUCUUACACAAAUGCAAAUAGUCUUGUUGCUCGCAUCCUUACCUGUGAUUGGAUGGGUGAGCCAUUCUUCCUUUUCCUUUUUCUUUUCCACCAAUCCAUGUCUACAUCACUACUAAGAAUAUACAUUCAGAGGGGUAGCCUACCUUGAGAGGUGCAAGAUAAUGAGCCACAGUGGUAUGAUUAUGUGUGUAACUGUGUGUUUGCAGGAGGUAUUACUUGAAGACAGGGUAACCAACUCAUUCCAGUUAGCCCCAGACUUUUCCUAUUUUAGCACUGGAAAUCCAACAUCUCAGGAAACUGUUCGUUCCCUAGUGUGCAAACCAGAACAACUGGUCACCCUUCUUGAGGGAGCUGUUUAACUAAGUGAUUGAAUAGAGGAGGCUAUGCUUACAUCGUUUCCAGUGAAGCCAGCUAGAGUCACAGCUUUUCUCUUCUUUUCACAAAAUUAACCAGAAAGACAGGAGAUGAUCAUACCACCAAUUUCAUAAACUCUCAUUUAGAUCAACAAACCAACAGCUUUUGAAACAGAGGACUGUCCCUUCCUUCUUAAAAUAUUUUCUUCACUUGGUUUCCAGUGAAAGCAAGAGGAGAGAGUGUGAGAGGACUCUCCUAGUUUCUUCUAGCUUAACUUCUUAAUCUCCUUUAAUGAUUCCUCUCCCACUAUCUUACUCUGGAAAGCCCCAAGUUUCUAAGUUUGGCCCUAUGAUUUUCUCUAUUGGUAUCUAUCAGAUAGGUGACCUUAUCUAGUGAACCUUCAAGUUCACAAUCAAUUUCAGGGUAGAUAUAGAGUCAAAGAAAGAUCAAAAUGUCACCUCUGUUAUUAGUUUUUGAAAUAUUUUAUAUUGCAGAACAUAAAGGAAAGAAAGAUCAAUUCUGUGUUACAACCAUUGCAUAUGGUAGUCCUUGUCCUUCUGCCUGGAACUCCGUAGAACUAUUUUUGCCCUGAGUCACAGGGUAACUAGACUUGCUAAUAUUUUGCUAUCUCACUCAGUCGUAGGAACAUUUGGAUAACCA